rnacentral:rRNA from 1 species
AGAACGAACGCUGGCGGCAGGCUUAACACAUGCAAGUCGAGCGCUCACCUUCGGGUGGGAGCGGCAGACGGGUGAGUAACGCGUGGGAAUCUACCCAUCCCUACGGAACAACUCCGGGAAACUGGAGCUAAUACCGUAUACGCCCGAUAGGGGAAAGAUUUAUCGGGGAUGGAUGAGCCCGCGUUGGAUUAGCUAGUUGGUGGGGUAAUGGCCUACCAAGGCGACGAUCCAUAGCUGGUCUGAGAGGAUGAUCAGCCACACUGGGACUGAGACACGGCCCAGACUCCUACGGGAGGCAGCAGUGGGGAAUAUUGGACAAUGGGCGCAAGCCUGAUCCAGCCAUGCCGCGUGAGUGAUGAAGGCCCUAGGUUGUAAAGCUCUUUCACCGGUGAAGAUAAUGACGGUAACCGGAGAAGAAGCCCGGCUAAACUUCGUGCCAGCAGCCG